rnacentral:rRNA from 1 species
GAUGAACGCUGGCGGCAUGCCUAAGACAUGCAAGUCGUACGAGAAGGCCCAAAGAAAGUGGAGUGCUUGCACAAAGCUGGACUUGGAUCACCUUCUAGUGGCAAACGGGUGAGUAACACGUGGGUUACCUACCUCUAAGACGGGGAUAACAGUUGGAAACGAUUGCUAAUACCGGAUGUGCUCUACGGAGUAAAGAAGCGAAUUAUCGCUUCGCUUAGAGAUGGGCCUGCGGUGCAUUAGCUAGUUGGUAGGGUAAGGGCCUACCAAGGCGACGAUGCAUAGCCGAACUGAGAGGUUAAUCGGCCACAUUGGACUGAGACACGGCCCAAACUCCUACGGAGCAGCAGUGGGGAAUCUUCCGCAAUGGCGCAAGCCUGACGGAGCGAACGCCGCGUGAGUGAAGAAGGUUUUCGGAUCGUAAAGCUCUGUUGAGAGGGACGAGAGGAUAUAAUCAGGAAAUGGGUUAUAGAGGACGGUACCUUUCGAGGAAGCCA